UUUUUUUUUUCUCCAGCAAGUAACGAAACCUUCAACUCUAUAGUAUUAAUGUAUUUUCUAAUUGUUGAAAUUACUUGUUGGAGAGAAAAAAAUAAAUAUUACUACUAAUGUCAUGGACUAAAGUAUUUAAUGUUCAACAGAGGUUUUAGGCUUGGUGAAAGCCAGCCUCUCUGAAGUCUGAAGUACGAAAUUCCAACUAAAGUGUGAAGGUUAUCAUGUCUUCCUCGAGGUUUCAUUAUUCAUCGUAUUCAACUCCAAAUAAGCUGACAUGCAAAUUAGAAACUGUUUCAUUUUCCAAAAACGUAUUUGCUGGAAGCGGUGAUAACCUGGCUGCCUGUCAUUUUUUAAUGUCAAAUAUUACAAUAUACUGCUCAUCGGUAUUUUCAUACCAAAGACCAUUAAAAUAUAUAGUUUAGCCUGUAAGUAAAGAUGAGCAGGUUUAAAGUAAAUUUAUUUAGAAACAGAUAGGGAAUAUAGCUUUAGUGGCAAAAAGAAAAUAUCAAAAGGCUAAGUUUACAUAGUUAAAAGCAAUACAGUUAUAUUGGUAUUUAUCAGUGUUUUUUAUUCGAGUACUUUAUAUCAGCAAAUUAAAAAGAAAUUAAAAACCAAAGAUAUUUAAGGUUACCUCAGAAUAUAGGAAAGUUUAGCUGUACAUUGAACUGUUGUUUGUUGUUUUGUGUUAACAAACUGUCUCUCCAGAACCUCUCCUCUGUGCAGACAGCGUCCUGAGGAUUUAUUUCCAUGGUGUCUGCUCACUCAGUCUCAGGUGUGUUUUUACUACAUGGUGUGCUGCUUCCAUACAGCCUGUGAGGGUGAUAGGUCGGCAGAGAGAGCAUCAGGCUUGUCUGUAUUGUGGGAACCCCUACAUCAUUCUAAGUCGUCUGCAUUCCUAUGUAAAGUCCUUCUCUAGAUACUCAGACAGCUUGAGGAAACCAAAAGGUGCCACUGUUCGGACGGGCAGUGCUUUGGGUUCAAAUACGGUUCCUAAAUCAUAAGAUUUUCAUUGCGUCGAAAAGCUGGCUUUCGAUCUCAAGUGAAACCCUGUUAAAGUGCCAGGGGGUGAGAUGCUCCUGAUGUGUUUGUUAGAAGCUCUCUUGCCUUUACCUCAGACACGAGCAAUGGCAGCAAUGCAGCAGAGACUGGGGUACGCACUGCUGUCUCUCUUCUGCAGGACUUCUGCAAACAGCAUAAAAAAGGCUCAUAGCUGACCAGUCAGGAGCACCGCUUAAGUCCCCGCCAUUGGAAACAGUGCUUCCUGUCAUCGAAGGCUGGGGUGGUUCACUCCUGUCAUCAAUUGCAGCAGUCGGAGGAAGGGGGCAGCAUGCAUUUUAGGAAGUCAGAGCCUGCUGUAAUUCAUGGUUCGAUUCUGUACAUUUGCAUAUCAUCAGAUGUCCAUUUUGAAUACCAGAUGUGGAAAAAGAGUUUGAACUGUAUUGUAAAGAGCUGGUACCUGAAGCAACCAUGUAUUUUGCAAGAUUUUCUUCCUGAAAAUUUACUACAUGCAUCACUGAUAAAAUUGCUUUGGUAGAAGUAAAAAAAAAAAAAAAAAAAAAAAAAAAAAAAUCACUCCUGGGCUGUGUGAGCACAGAGUGGUGGGUUCUGGAGACCACCACCCAUAUCUGUCUGUCUAAUUGUGAAUUUUGUUGACAUUUAGAAGGCAACCAUAGGUUUUAUGCCAGGUUGUCCAUGCUCAGGACACAAGUUCACAGGCUAUCGCCAUGCUUCUGUUACAGGCUUAUCUAGCAGACGGGUACUGAAUUCAUUUUCUUGCAAUUUUUCUAACAAACCAGCACGAACUUAGUGUCUGUAAACAGCACCGCACAGUGUUGAAGGUCUGUAGGUCAGAACUCUUUCUUUUUGAGGCAGUUUCCUGCUGUAAAACCCUCUCUGUCCUGGAACCUGCUGUAUGUAUAAACCAGGCUGGCUUUGAACCAGUGGGGACCCUGCUGCCUCAGCCUAUCUUUAAAAAACAAAACUGCUUUUCAAUGGGUUUUUCUUAUUUGCCCUGUCCUGUAGUAUCUGGUCCAUUCCCAAACUAAAACCCUUCCUGCAGAUAAGCCUGAACACAGAUGUGCCUCUGCCUCUUAGUAGGGCUUAGGAGAUAUAUUAAGAAAAUGUGUCUGUCAGUUACUGUUGUUGGACAAAAGUUUAUGUCUGUAUGUGUAGGAAUUUUUUUUCUAUUUCAAAGAUGUGAAUUUAAUGAAGUGUGGGAGCCAGUUAAGUUAUUUUCUGUAGUGGGUGUUCUGGGUCCUGCCACUCUCUGCUUCCUUGUAAGGGCACCAUUUCCUGGCUUCCUGGUGGACUGUGGAGCUGGGUUACAUUCGAUUUCUGCUUGUCUCAGGGGACCAGCUCUGCAGGCUCCAUCUCAUGAAGAAAGUGAAUGUUUGCCUUGAUUUUGAAUGUAUUUUUAAAAAUGUCUUCUUAAAACAUAUUUUUUGUUUAAUAAUGUGGGUUUGUUUUCUUUUCCUAGCAUGAUAGUAAAUAUUGCUUAGUACCCCACAUCCCUACCCUACCCCUGGAAGUUUAUAUUCUACCCUACAGGUCAUGCCAAAAAUGAAUAAAAGUUUAAAUGCC
rnacentral:lncRNA from 1 species